rnacentral:lncRNA from 1 species
GGGCUUCUGGCGUUUGUCACUUCUUGGCGAUUAGUGGGCUUGCCCUGGCCUGGGGCAGGGGAGGGUGUGCUGAGGCCAGGGUCCCAGGCAUCAGGGGCAGGGUCUCUGAGGAGCAGAGCCCAGUGCUAAUACAGGAGGCCAGAGGAGACAGGAGGCUGCUUGGGGUUCUUCCAGGAAGACAGAGAAGGAGCAAGCAAAGCUUGGCUAUUUUAAUUUGAUAAAUGGUUGUACACCUUUAAGAGUGUGUUUUAACAAUCAAGAUACACUCCAGCAAGUUGAUAGGAUGUUCCCUGUCAACUUACAUAUGUCAUCAGGGCAGGCUGUGAACAUAAAUAACUUGGGAGCUUCGGGAUGCUCACCGGCUCUCGCAGGGGAGGUCACCCCCCAACUCAACGGCCCCCCACCCUGUGUCUGGAGGCCCUAGCCAGAGGAGGAAAGACAUGGUGUAACAAGCAAAAAGCAGAAUCACAAGCAGCAUGGACCGCCGAGGAAAUCGGCUUGAAGCCUUGCCGUGCUGGGAAGGAGCAAGGCCUCGAAGGGCCUCCGGCAUGGGACGGCACUCUGCUU